rnacentral:rRNA from 1 species
AACGCUGGCGGCGGGGUUUAGGCAUGCAAGUCGCGGGAGAAAGCCUUCGGGUGAGUAGACCGGCGCAAGGGUGAGGAAUCCUUCGUUAAUGUACCCUGUGGACCUGGAUAAUUGCUCGAAAGGGCUUGUAAUACAGGAUGAGACUCCAGUGCCUCCGGGCACGGUAGUCAAAGGGGCGGGAUCUUUCGGGAUCGCCUGCCAUGGGAGCGGACGAAGUCGUAUUAGCUUGUUGGUGGGGUAACGGCCUACCAAGGCGAUGAUGCGUAGCCGGCCUGAGAGGGUGUUCGGCCACACUGGGACUGAGACACUGCCCAGACUCCUACGGGAGGCUGCAGUCGCGAAUCAUUCACAAUGGACGUAAGUCUGAUGAUGCCACGCCGCGUGCAUGAAGAAGGCCUUCGGGUUGUAAAAUGCUGUUGUCUGGGGGGAAGAGUGCGUGCUUAAUAGGUGCGUAUGUGACUGCCCAAAUGAGGAAGCCCCGGCUAAACACGUGCCAGCAGCCGCGGUAAU